ACACAAGCAAUAGAUAAUCCCACACCUGCCAAUCCCUAAGAAGAAAAACACACACACAAUGCCACCGCUAACAACAAAAACAAAACAAAACACUUCCCCCCAGGAACUAGCAAUCACUGGUCAUUAUUAUUCCUUUAUAUCAGUGGGCUCAAUUUGCCUAUAAAAGACACAGGCUAUCAGAUUGGAUGUGCAAACAAAUCUGUCCUUCUGCUGUAUACAAGAAGCACACCUCAACUACAAAGACAGAUGUCACCUCAGAGUAAAGGGGUGGGAAAAUAUUUUCCAAUCAAGGGGACUAAAGAAACAAGCUCAGAAAUAGAUUUCAAACUAAAAGUAGCAAAAGAGAUGCAUUCUUCAUUUUAAAUUUUCUGAAUGUGGAUGCCUAAUGGAAGGACCCUUGCACUGGAUUAUGGAAAGGACCCGAUCCUGUUUUAAUAUGGGGUUGUGGGCAUGUUCGUGUUUUCUCAAAGGGAGAAUACAAGGCUCAAUGGCUGCCAGAACAUCUGGUGAGGUGUGUGGAGCAGAAGAAUGCCAGACCUGAUGAUACUGUGACUGCUGGAGCACUGACCCCAAACAAAUUCGAAUGAGAUCUACUGAAGCUGUGCUCCUGCCCCUUUGAUGUCAUCGUUCUGCAGUCUGAGAAGGGAAGGAGGCUACACUUGGAGAUUUCCAGUUUUUCAACAAACCUGCUGCAUCAACUUCCCAGAAGUCUGUGAGUUUUUAUCCUGGAUCUAGCCAAGGACUGAAUGUCUAGCAGUUUAUACACACUGCAUCUUGGGACAUAGAACUCAUUUUUGCCAGUUGAAACUCAUUUCUGCUGUUACCUCAGAGACUUCCCCUUUUCGGGAAAAUGAUUCACUAGAACAAGUGAACACUAUUAUGGGGGUUAUAGAUGGCUAAAGCCCCUCUUCAGUAUGAGAGGUGCAGUUGGACACAAGGAUUGCUGCUGGUAUUCCGUAUCUCAAACUGUGGAAAUUAAAAGCAGCAAUGCAUUGGACUGUAAGAGGGGAAAAAAAAGGUUCAGAAUUGUGGAGUUACUCACAUUUCACCCACCAUGAGAACACUGUAUUGUCCUUUGACUGAAUUGAGAUUAUGAGAUUGUAAUCUAGCUGAUUAUGUGUCUGUUGUUAAUAAUCAUAUUGGAAUUCUUAAUGUUUGCAACCUUUGCUAUGCUAUGUAAAUGCUAAUGGAUAGAAAAAUGUCAGUGCUCAUUCUGAUAGGAAUUUGACAUGAUGCUAAUGAGUCAUUUGAUACAAUGCAACUAAGAAGGCAGAUUUUGAUACCUCAACCAAUUUAAAAAGGCCAUUUCAUCUUGAUAAUCCUCUAUUCCUUUAAUAGGAGAUACUGUAGCCAUAAAAGCAUAUGUAUUGCUUAGUAUGAUCAAGCUUCUUGUGAACUUUCGAUGAAAAGUUGUCUCAGAGGUGCAUGGCAUCAAGCUAUGCACUUUCUCCUAACCUUUAUUACUACAGAGGCUGGUAGUCAAAGACGGGUAAAACCUUUUUGCCUCCAGGAGACCUAAGACAGGUCACACAUGGCAGCAAUGUGUUCCAAUGACGGGUAAAUCUGGAAGGUGAAAGAAGACAACCUAAGACAGACAGCCGUCUGUCCUGUGGCAGAAGCACAGGUAUUACUUAAUUAUAUUUAGAAGGGGGAAUUGUCAGGGCCCAUAAAAAUGGCUUCACUUCAUCUUAGCUUAUGGUCAGAGAGUUCGAAACUAUCCUUAGUCUUUCAAGGUUAAAGUCAUAAGACCUAAAGUUCUAAGGUGUGACUAUUGCAGGAUGUUUGGUCUUAGUCAUGGAUGUCUUAGCUAAAUAACAAGAGACCUGGCCUAAGGUCUGGUUACUCUUAACCCCCACGGCCAGAUAACAAGAAAUUUAAUCUAAGGUGUGGUUACCAAAUGUUUGGAGAAUUAAGGAAGGAGUCUUUUGCCAUGAUCCACUUUUUUGUUGGGGUACUUGAGAAUGUCGAAGAAUAAACUUGGGGCAUUCAGUAUUCUUUGGAUUUCCCUCCUGACUCUAUUCUGUGUCUGUGUCUUUUCCUUAAUGUCUUUACCUGCCAUGUCUCAAUUCACACUCCCAUUCUCAGGUACAAACAGGGAUUAAUACAGACUGGCACCACAAAGAUGGGAAAUGACACCUUUCUCUGGUCCAAAGGCAAAAGUUGAUAGUAUGUGCGGAAAAUGUCCUCCAUAGCUUUCUCCCCUCAGGUGUUUACAGCCUGAAGACUGCUCCCCUAGAGAGAUUGCUCCUGUCUACAUUAGCUAAACCUGACUCCUUGUCCAGCUGCAUGCAACAACCCCACCUCCUUGUUCAACUGUAUACAACAAAAACACUGAGCUACCAGGGCAUUCUGCUUCUUCAACAGAGAGCCUAGACCACCCUCCCCAAGUUUCCUAUGUCUGUGUGUCUUUCCUAUCUUGAAUCCUUCACCACCCCAGUCAGAUAAAAUCCAUGGAACUGUGCAGAGCACAGAAGCAGAAGCAAUUGAAGGCAAUAUAAUAUUCAGGUUGUUAUUUAACAUAAUCAUUACUCACUGCUUUAAGUUAGGUUUUCAAUGAAGACAGGAAUCAAAACGUUAGAGAGAUUGAAAAGCAUACAGUUUGACCAUGAAAAUGGUGUUUACUAUGGACAAUGCAAACAUUGACAAAGAAUCUCUGAUUGCUAAGGGGUUCUUAGCAUUAAAGAGAAUUCAUGCAUUCCACCCUGGAGCAGUAGAAAAGAUGUGCUGACAGCAGGAAUCCUCCCACCAGAACUUUCGGCCAGGACACAGCAACAGUGCCUCACCACGCCACGCAGCUGGCAGGGGAAGGACUCGACCAGGAGCUGGUAGCCCUGGGCUGCUUCCACACCAUGCCAUGCAGGUGUCAGAGACAGGACUCAACUAGAAGCCGCCCAGGGACCCUAGCUCCUGACCACAGCACUGCAGAAGCAGAAGCUCAGCACCACGCCGCGAGACACAGGGACAGGACUCAGCUAGAAGCUGCCUGGGAUUCACGCAGGGACACAGAAAGAGCAACAGAUCAGAGCCAUGCCGUGCAUCUGGAGGGAGCAGGACUCCACCAAGUGCUGCCUGGUGCCUAAGCCACCAGGCAGUCAGACACCAUUAAGGGAACUUUGUGAACCAGUCCUAAGAACAGACGAGCUGACACCCCUCUCCCCCACCUUACAUGCCUCUGACGGCGCCUUGCCUGGGAAAGUCAGUUGAGCUGGCCUUGGUGGUGUGAGUGGGGACCAGCCAGGCCUGAGGGCCUGAGAGCAAGAGAAGUGGUCCUGCUCAUUGCUGCAGGCCGCGUUGGGUGGGUUGGCCUAGGCAGUGCUGGAGAGCUCACCUGGGUGAUGACUUUGGGGGAGAUCUGGUGGCCUGUCCAGCUCAGCUACCGCUCAGGACCAGGACCAGGGCUACGAGGUGACCCACCCCGACAUCUGCCUCAUCUGUGAACUAUUGGAGCAGGUGAAGGGGACGAACCUACAGAUCCCAAAACAGCAGGAUCCCCAUGACACGGGACAACAACAGAAUGUCGAAGGGAGCCCCUGUGAGAGUCCAUUACUGAUGGUGUAUCAGGAGCCAGAGGCUUCAAAUCAGACCAGUGCCUCACGGCAAAGAACACUGACAACUGAAGACAAAAGGACUAAGGGGCCAACUGUGUAACUCAGUGGGUCGCACGACAGCCUUCACUAGAUUCUUCCCCUUUUUGUUGUUUGUUUUUGUUUAUUUUCUUUUUUUGGUUUGUUGUUUUGUUUUGGGUUUCUUUUAAAUUGUGUUUUGUUUGGGGAGUGUUGCAAGGGCAGAGGGCAGAUGUGGGGGACAGAGAGAUGGGUGAGAACUGAUGCAUUAUGUGAAAUAUGAAAAAAAUCAGUAAAAGUUAAAAUAAAACACACACACAAAAGGAUCCUUCCAAUAAGGGAUCGAAGGUCUGUAAUCACAUUGGAAAGCUUUCCUUUAAAGAGCUGUUCUUAGCUCA